UACGUAGGGGGCGAGCGUUGUCCGGAUUUAUUGGGCGUAAAGAGCUCGUAGGCGGCUCGUCGCGUCGACCGUGAAAACCCGCAGCUUAACUGCGGGCUUGCGGUUGAUACGGGCGGGCUAGAGUUCGGUAGGGGAGACUGGAAUUCCUGGUGUAGCGGUGAAAUGCGCAGAUAUCAGGAGGAACACCGGUGGCGAAGGCGGGUCUCUGGGCCGAUACUGACGCUGAGGAGCGAAAGCCAGGGGAGCAAACGGG
rnacentral:rRNA from 1 species